CCCUCACCUUAUCUACUGGCAAGUCACCCUCGAGCUUUUAUACCUUUUAUCUCACCACAAAUCCAUUGCCCGUGGCUGCUUAACGAUUUUUCCACGGUUUUAGAUACCUUAAUUCACUUAUUCCGAGGCUUCGUGCAGUUAAGCUAUGUGUAAUCCGUUAUUACCCUCGAGCGUCAGUGAAUAACUUCAAAGUCAAAUUUAUUGUUAGCAACACGAUAACCUUGGCUUUAGUUAUUAGUUUUUCUUGUUUUGGUUGAUUCUAUAGUACUUUAUUUUAUUUAUUUAUUUAUUAUUGACAUACACAAUUAUGGCUGUUAUUUAUCAUUAUUCCCAAAUACUUUCUGAAAAUAUUCUUUUUGCAUUAAUCAGAUUUUGGUUACAAAAGAAAAAGAAGUUCCAGGGGAAAGGCAGAAAUAUCCAAGAGCGGGCGAAUUUCAUACUGUGCUUAAUUCGCGCUGAAGAAGAAAAUUACUUGAUUUAAUAAUAAAAAUAUUUUCUUCAAAGUUUAAUUUUUGUUAGAAAAUGUUUAGCUCGUUUACUUCAAGAAAUUUAAAUUUAAAUCAAUAAAUUAAAAAUUUUAGCUAAAGAAUAAAAAA